rnacentral:misc_RNA from 1 species
UACGUAGGGCGCAAGCGUUAUCCGGAAUUAUUGGGCGUAAAGAGCUCGUAGGCGGCUUGUCACGUCAGCCGUGAAAGUCCGGGGCUCAACUCCGGACCUGCGGUGGGUACGGGCAGGCUAGAGUGAUGUAGGGGAGACUGGAAUUCCUGGUGUAGCGGUGAAAUGCGCAGAUAUCAGGAGGAACGCCGAUGGCGAAGGCAGGUCUCUGGGCAUUAACUGACGCUGAGGAGCGAAAGCAUGGGGAGCGAACAGG